AGCACUUGUGGUGUGUGUUUUUGUUUAAUUUGUAACAAAUACUUAUAGACAGAUGCACACUGUAAAUCCUCUUUUGCAACCCAGAACUCAUGGUUACCAGUUUAGAUACAUGCAAGAAGAAAUAUG